UUAUCGUCAGCAUCGUCAAAUUGUUGUAUUCUUCAAUCCUUUUAAAAACCUCUCAAGAAAAGUCUCUUUAAAACAAAUAACACUUGCAUCAAUUAUAAAUCCUCUGUGAAUAACAAAAACCCUAGAGAAGAAACUCAAAACAUGGGUCUGAUUAGCAAAGAAGAAGUUAGCAAGACCAGAAGAUAUUCAUCUUCUCUAUGGAGAGGAGUCAAGACUAUCUUCGUUCUCUUCACUAUGCUCCUCUCUUUCAUCCUCUUCUCUGCUCCUAUCUUCCUCGCCGUCGCAGACGCCAUCCUCCCCUCCGCCAUCCUCUCCUCCUCCUCCUCUCUCCUACGCCUUUCUCCGGCGACUGUUUCUUCUCAUCUAAGCAACUACGACUUCAGAUACUCCCUCAUCGAUAUUCCUAUCAUCUCCAUCAUUAGAUCUGCCAUUAUACUAUGUGUUUAUGGGCUAUGUGACGGACCAAAGUUAUCAAGAGGUCCGUAUCUGACAAUAACGAUGUUCUGCUCGAUAUCUUCGUUGAUCUACGUGUCUUGUAAGGCAGCGUUUGUGUUUGGUGAGCCAGUGAUCGGAGGAGGAAGUUUCAGAACAGAGGAAGUGGCUCUGUUUGUGUGUUCGUCGGUCUUAGCCAUCGGUCAUAUCGUUGUGGCGUAUAGAACAAGUUGUAGAGAGAGAAGAAAGCUACUAGUCUUCAAGAUCGACAUCGAAUCCGUUUCAGCUUGUAAGAAUGUGUUUCCUCGAUACCAGAAGAUCCUCCUACAAGAGAGACUCAAAUAGCUAAUAGUAGACAAACGACACUUGUACAUAUUUAUACUUCCAGUACAGCUUUAUGUAUAUAAAUAUAAGUAUCAAAUGCAACAUCUUCUGAAUUUUGGUCUCUCCUUUCAAGUUUCAGAAAGGUCCAAAGGAUAAUCUGUAGAGGGAAGAACAGAUAACGAAUGGGGCUUACUAUAACACACUAUGCUUUUCCGUGUGAGAAUACAAAAGACAAUUCCAAUGGAUUGGCAGUGUUACUAUAUUAUAGAUUUUAAAUUAGGUAGACACACACAAAAAACGAAUCAUUAUAGUUUUGAUUUACUCUUUCCUUUAAUGAAUGAUCCACCGUUACACUUUUGUCUUUUUGUUUUGUUUGUUGUAUAAACAAUGUUUUCAUCAAAUGAGAUAAGAAGCCGAAGGCAUCUUUCUUCCA